GGGCAGUCCGCGCAAUUCCCAUCCCAGCCAAGGUGGAGAGGAGUAUUUUAUGGUUGACCGUGUCAAAAGCUGCAGACAGGUCAAGAAGGAUCAGGACAGAGGAAAGGCGUGAGGCUCUUGCAGUGGCAAGUGCCUCCGUCACAGCUAGGAGUGCAGUCUCUGUUGAGUGCCCAGAUCGGAAGCCAGACUGGUGAGGGUCUAGCAGGUUGUUCUGAUGGAGAAAAGAGGUUAAUUGUUUAAGAACUGCUCGUUCAAGGGUUUUGGACAGAAAGGGUAGAAGGGAUACGGGUCGAUAAUUUGCUACAUCGGAGGGGUCUAAGGUGGGUUUUUUGAGUAGUGGGGUAACACGAGCCAUCUUAAAAACAGAGGGAACAUGACCAGAGGAGAGAGAGGAAUUAACAAUGGAAGACAGAUAGGGAAGGAGCUCGCUGGAGAUAGAUUGGAGAACUUUAGAUGAGAUGGGGUCAAAUGGACAGGUGGUUGCGCGAUGAGAGGUGAUGAGUUGUAAUACAUCGGAGUCCUCCAGCAUUUCAAAGGAGGUCAGUGUGGCUGUGGGUGGGGUUAUCCUGGGGGGUUGGGGGGCUCACUGGAUGGGUGAAGGAGUUCCGGAUUGUAGCCACCUUUCCUUCAAAGGCGGCCAGAAAGUCAUCUGCGGAGAGGGAAGAGGGAGGUGGGGGUGGAGGAGGAAUGAGGAGGGAAGAGAAGGUGGAGAAUAGUUUACGUGGAUUAGAGACACAUGCGCUGAUCUUGGAUUGGAAAAAAGAGGCUUUUGCAGACGCGAGGGCAGAUGUAAAAGUCGCCAGCAGGGCAUGGUAUGCGGUCAGGUCAUCAGAGGAUCGGGAUUUUCUCCACUUCCUCUCUGCAGCCCGCAGUGAUGUUCUGCUGGAGCAUAGUGACUCGGUCAGCCAUGGGCAGGGGGGUGAGGAGCGUGCUGGUUUGGAGACAAGAGGACAAAGUGGGUCGAGGGACUGAGAGAGGCAGGAGUUGAGGGUGGAGGUGGCAAGGUCAACUGGCAGGUUAGAGAAAGACGCAGGAGGGGGAAGUGUAGACAGAGCAGUGGAGACGAGGGAGGAUUGUGACAGAGUAGGGAGAUUUCUCCUGAAAGUUACUGUGGGUGAGCUAUUGGAUGAAUUGAGGGGGAGUAAAUAGGAGAGGGAGAAAGAAAGAAAGAAGUGGUCCGAGACAUGGAGGGGAGUCACUGCAAGUUGGGGAAUGGAGCAGCCUCUGGUGAAUACAAGGUCUAGUUGGUUACCAGCCUUGUGUGUGGGGGGGGGAGGAGGACAGGGAUAGGGCGAAAGACUGGAGGAGUGAGGCAACCCUGGACAGUUAUGCGAUGAUUCAACAUUUCAUUUGGCGCCGUAGUGACAUUAUUAGAUGAAGAUUGAAUGUUUUUAAAUGUAUAAAGAUGUUUGUAGACUGAAGGUGAGGUAAAGUACACCAUAGUGAUCAUACUUGUGCUGUUUCUUGUGUUUGCAAAUUAAAUAUGUUUGCAGUCAUAUUGUGUCCCAUGUGAUAUCAUCGCAACAUGGAACAGUUUUGUUAAUGAAAUCCUUGCAGGAAGCCCCCAACCUUGAGUUGAAUUGGCUCCUUAUUUUUAGUUAUUUUUUGUUAAUUGAGCCAAGUGAUAACCUUUUUUUGUGGAUUAGUCAGAAUACUUUAUGAACAUAAUUAAUAUAACCUCUUUCUGUGUUUGUGUGUACUGUGUACAUCUCAGUAAUGCACGUACUGUACAAAUAGGAAAUUCCACAUUUAUCUGCUGCCAAGGUGCACAGUGUGACAAUUAGCAGUGAAUUUCAAUUGUGUGUGUGUUUGUGUGUGGUUGUGUGUGUGUGUGUAUAUAUGUGUGCAUGUUUGUGUGUGUAUGUUGUGUGUGUGUGUGUGUACGUUUGUGUGUGGUGUGUGUAUGUGCGUAUGUGUGUUGUGUAUCCGUAUGUUGUGUGUGUCGUUGUUUGUUGUUUGUGUGUGUCUGUUUGUGUGUUGUGCGUGUGUGUGUAUAUACAUAUGUGUGUGUGUGUGUGUGUGUGUGUGCAUGUGUGUGCAUGUGUGUGCAUGUGUGUGUAUGUGUGUGUGUGGCCUCUCCACAGGCUGGGUUGGUGUAAUCUCACAGAGGGCUGCUGUGAUGUUCUGGCCUCAGUCCUGCGCUCUCCUCACUCAGAGCUGAGAGAUCUGGAGCUCAGAGACAAUGAGCUGCAGGAUUCAGGAGUGAGAGCGCUCUCUGCUGGACUGGAGGACCCACACUGUAAACUGCAGAGACUGGGGCUGUCAGGCUGUAGAGUCACACAGAGAGGCUGUGAUUCUCUGGCUUCAGCUCUGUGUUCAAACCCCUCACACCUGAGAGAGCUGGACCUGAGAUACAAUCACCCAGGAGACUCAGGAGUGAGAGCGCUGUCUGCUGCUAAACUGGACACACUCACACUGCUUGUUGACCAUGGAGGAGAGAACAGGACCAAACCAGGACCAACAAAAUACGGCUGUCAACUCACACUGGAUCCAAACACAGCGCACAGAGAGCUGUCUCUGUCAGAGGGGAACAGGAAGGUGACAUACACACUGGGGAGAGAGGAGCCAUAUCCUGAUCAUCCAGAGAGAUUUGAGGACCGGCCCCAGGUUGUGUGCAGAGAGAGUGUGUGUGAGCGCUGUUACUGGGAGGCUGAGUUCAGUGUGUCUGAGGAGGGAGAGGUUUAUAUAGCAGUGACAGAUAAAGGAAUC